GAUUGGGCAGAUGAUGAGCGUGACACAGGGCUUGGUUUGACAGACCGGGGCAGAGAGCAUAGAUUUUCCAAGAGUGAAGUCUACUGGGAUGUGGAUUUUGAUUUCCCAAGGCCUAGUAUUUUGCCACAGAAAAUAGGACAUAAUCUCUUUGACAGGAGGGGAGAACGGGACAAUGCAACUGGAAAGAUUUCUUCCAGUGAAGUCA
rnacentral:misc_RNA from 1 species